rfam:Trichinella pseudospiralis scaffold7s, whole genome shotgun sequence.
UUGAUUGUAUGACGAAUGCGGCAGAAACCAUCCAGAGGUGGCAGCAUUCUGAUGUUUUCCGAUCAA